AAACAAGUUACUUGUGUUCACAUACUAAAAUUGGUAUAAUACAAAAGAGAUUAGCAUGGUCCCUUCAUAAGGAAGACACACAAAUUCAUUAAGCAUUCCAUAUUUUU